rnacentral:rRNA from 1 species
AUGGCGGAGGAGAAUGCCCCAGUUGAGGUUGCCGCUCCGGUUGCGGCCCCUACCCCAGUUCUUGGAGAGCCCAUGGACUUGAUGACUGCUCUGCAGCUUGUGAUGAAGAAGUCAAGCGCUCAUGACGGCCUUGUCAAGGGACUUCGUGAAGCUGCGAAAGCGAUUGAGAAGCAUGCUGCUCAGAUCUGUGUGCUUGCUGAGGACUGCGACCAGCCUGAUUACGUGAAGCUGGUGAAGGCACUGUGUGCUGAGCACAACGUUCACUUGGUCACUGUGCCUAGUGCCAAAACUCUUGGCGAGUGGGCUGGGCUUUGCAAGAUUGACUCUGAGGGCAAGGCAAGAAAGGUGGUGGGCUGCUCAUGUGUCGUCGUGAAGGACUACGGCGAAGAUUCGGAGGGUCUUCACAUCGUGCAGGAAUACGUCAAGUCGCACUAG